GCGCUGCAGAUGUCUUGAGAUAGAGAACGCCGCCUCCCAAGUCAGGUUGGUCACGAUCACCUUGGAUGAAGUCAAGGCGAGCCUCGUUCUCGUAAAAGCAAGCUCCUUUCCACUGAAUAGAGCCAUUUUUGGGAGACACCGAUCCAACGAAAUACGGCAACAAAUCAACAGCACCAUGAAAAUUGUUCAGUACAGGCCAUGA
rnacentral:misc_RNA from 1 species